GUUGCCCUGUGGAAAGACUCACCUGCCAACCACCUGAAGCCUCCAGCCUCCAGCCCUGUGAAUUAGCUCCUUGGACACACAGGUUCUUGGCUUUUCUCUCUUUGUGAAAGCUCACAGUGCCUCUCAUCUCAACUCAAAUGAUUAUCUGAUGCUUCUCAACGACACGCAAAAAGUCAUUCUUCCUGAGAACAACAGCCUUCCCAAGCCACACACUGGCUCUCUGUGGCUGGUGUUCAGCUUCGACUUAGCAGGUCCUUUCCCAGACAUGGCAGGAAAAUGCCCUCCUAAGAGGACGAAGAAGGGCAAGCUGCCCGGCAGGUCUCUGAAAACCUCACCUCAGGAGAUCCCCUCAUGAACCCACUCCACCAGGAGCCCCAGGAGCUUAAGAAGUCCAGGCUUCCUCUGCAAACCCAGCAGCAACUCUGGCAAAGCGGGAGGUUAGACUCCCAUCUGUACCCCAGGAAAUCCAGGGGGCAGAGCAGCCUUGGUCUCCAGGCCCCGCUUCCAAGGCAUCUCCAGCAUAAGACUCACCUGCAUGGAACUUCAGCCAGGCACAGAUAGCAGCGUUCCACCUCGCUGAGAGGGGACUCCCAGAAGGAGGCACAGGCCACCACCUUUGCUGUUUGGAGGUUGUUGCCUUCAGGCUCUGGGGACUCUAGGGUGAGCAGCAACUGGAGCAGUUCCUUGCACAGCACAGCAGCUCUACAAAGAGGCGGCCAGACUGCUUUUCAUGUGGGUCUCAGAUCCCAUUGCUCUUUGCUGGGCCAAAUUUCCAAGCUGAGGUACACAACCAUUCCGACUGGUGUGUUUUCCAGCAGGUAGCAGUCCCAAACCUCCCUGGGAUGGAGCUCCCAGAAGGAUGGGUGGGCUACCAUCAUUGCUGUUUCACAGCUUCAGCCAUUGCUGCCUUCAAGCUUUGGAGAGUUUGAGGCUACGAGGGGCUGGAGCAGACCCCCAACAUACCCACAGUUGCUCUGCAAAGCAUGCAGACUGCUUUUGUAUGUGUGUCCCCAAUCCCAUUCCUCCUCACUCAGUGGGACCUUCCCCCGGGGUCCCUUGCCACCCCCACCAGUGUGUCAUUAAAAUGGCCCUACUGCCCAAAGCAAUUUACAGAUUCAGUGGUAUUUCUAUCAAGCUACCAAUGGCAUCCUUCACAGAAUUGGAAAAAAACUACUUAAAAAAAAAAGGACAAUUAGCCAAGGCAAUUCUAAGCAAAAAGAGCAAAGCUAGAGGCAUGCAUCUUCAAUAUAUACUCGACUUCAAACUAUAGUAUGGGGCUACAGUAACCAAAACAGCAUGGUACUGGUACAAAAACAGAUACAUUGACCAAUAGAGAAGGAGAGACACAAGACAGAAUAGAGAGACUGGAGAUAAGGCUACAAACCUACAACCAUCUGGUCUUUCACAAAGUUGACCAAAACAAGCAAUAGGAAAAGGACUCCCUAUUUAAUCAAUGAUGCUGGAGUAACUGGCUAGCCAUAUGCAGAAAAUUGAAACUGGACCCCUUCCUUACAUAAUAUACAAAAAUCAACUCAAGAUGUAUGAAGCAUUUAAAUGCAAAACCCAUAACUUUAAAAACCCUGGAAGACAUCCUAGACAAUACCAUUCUGGACAUAGGAACUGGGAAAGAUUUUAUGAUAAAGACACCAAAAGCAAUCACAACAAAAUCAAAAAUGGGCAAAUGAGAUCUAAUUAAAUUUAAGAGCUUCUGCACAGAAAAAAAAAAAAAAAAACUACCAGAAGAGUAUUACAGAGUACCCAGUGACUACCUGGCAUGUGAUUUAAUACAGGUUUGUGGUUAAGCGACUUUAUAAAGAAGUUAAGAGAUCCCAGAUUUAUUGAGUAAGAAAAUUUCUGAAUGAUCUUGACAUUUUACUCCUUAAUUUCUGUCCUCUUUCAUUAACUGUCAUAUCCUUAUAGAAAAUUAUAACAGCUGUCCAUUGCCCAUUAGCAGAGGUUGGCCAACUCUUUCUAUAAAGAUCCAGAGAGUAAAUUCAUUUGUUUUUGCAGGACACAAGGUCUUUGUUGAAACUUUUCAAUGCCAGUGCUGUGAAUUGAAGUCAGCUGUAGGAGACAUGUCUCUCCAUGGGUAUGGCUGCUGUCCUGUAAAACUCCACUUACAAAGGCCUGACCGCCAGGAACCUUGGUCAAAGAGCAGUGCAGUUUUGAUGAAAUACGUCUUCAGUGUUUGACUCACUGCAAGCCCAGCCUCCCUAUCGAGAAGCAGUCGAGGUGCAGCGAUGUGGCUCCCACCUUGAAAAACGAUCUCCAGCCAACUCUGAGACAAGGAACGCCUCUGGGAGCUAUGCUAGUAACUGGAAGAAAUGUGAGUGUGGGGUCUGCCUGCAUAGAGAAAGGGGCAUGCACGUCCAGGAGCCCUCGAUUCUGCAAGGCGGUCACGCGCAGCUAAGGUGGGGAAAUACCAGUUAAAGACAGAUUUGGGUGUGACUGCAAGUCACAAACAUCUCUGAGUGUUUUGAUCACUGAAUUUCUGUCCGCCCGACGACAGACCUGUCUGGUCGGGUGGGCUACCAUUUGUUUUGCCCUGUUCAAAGUUUUUAUCAGUGACUUGAUUGACAAUGCCAUGUUUAAGGUUUAUUUCUAGAGAAAAAUCACAUGCACGUCCUGGAUUCCUUAAGACUUCUCAUUGUCACACAGUGAAAUGCACAUGCUCUUCUCCCACUUAAAGUUUUGAUUUUUUUUUUUCCCUGACUGCUGGGAGUUUGGUGUGAGUUCUGUUCCUUCCUGGUGGUGAUCUGCUGAACUGGGCACUGGAAGCCCCACCUCCUCUGUUCCCCAACUCCUUGUGAAUAAGGUUGACUGUAAAUGGAGUUUCUACAAGUUGCUUCCGUGAUUUGUGCAGACUGGCAAUAGAUGAGAAUGCUGAAUGGACUGGGGCUGUGUACACCCAUCAAAGCUAUAGGGCCCUUGUACUGCCCAGCCUAGAGGGACACGUUGGAGCUGAGAUCAAACCAUGUCUGUGCAACUUGAAGCCCUGGAUCUCUGCAGCUAUGCUAUAUAGGGAACCUCAGAUCUGGAAGGACACUAGAUCCCAUUCUCUCCAACUUCUUGAUUGGACAGAUGGAAGAAGGGUGGCACACACAGCUAGUAGAGGACAAGCCAAGCUCAGAAACCAGAUUUCUUGUUGCCCAGUCCAAUGUUCUGACUAUAGUGCACUGCCAAAGGAAAAUUCUGUGAAGUUAGUUCUGUCCACGAUCUGUCUAGUCUUAAUAAAGGAUGGUUUUCCUGUGGA